UGGGCUAUCGCCAAACGGCAAGGCACAGGAUUUUGAUUCCUGUAUUUGUUGGUUCAAAUCCAACUAGCCCAG
rnacentral:tRNA from 1 species